ACAAACAGGAAGUUUGCUUAGACAACCCAUUCAACAAUGACAAAAGUAGACAGUAGUCAUAAUUGGUUCCUGAAGUUUAGAACUAACCAAACUACUAUAUCAUGCAUCCACCAACUAGUUUGGAAAGGGAACUAACAAGAAAAUUAUAAGUCUAAUUUGAAUAGGAUAUGGUAUUUGAGUCAUAAUGCAUACACAUAAUGAAAGUCAACAACAAAAGAUUAAAACGGAAGAAACAGAGACUGUUGCUUAUUUACUUGUCUUAUUAUAUGGCUCUUCUGCAACAACAGAUAUAAUAAAUCAUGGAAUAAAGAAACAGAUCUUACAUUUAUCCUAAACUAACAAUUGAUGAGUACAACUUAUGCAUCAAAUACAGUAAUACUUUAUGCCAAGAUACUACACUUGCAGAGUUGAAAUUGUGACAUUUAUGUCACGACGUAGAUAGAGCUACAUCAAAAAGAAAAAAUUGAAAUUCAAAAUCAGCCUUUCAAAGUUCUAUCAAAAUGCUAUAAUUAGUAAGUACCAAGAGAUAAUUGAUCCAAUUUCAUAGGGUAAAAAGUAUAGGAAAAAUGAGAAAACUCACGUGUCAACUAUCUCACUAUAGAACUGGAUCGAAGUAGACGGUGCUGGGAUUGACGGAAGAGGGCAACGGUUUGAGCGAACUGGAAAAAAUUCGAUUUGAGCGUUCAGAUGAACAAAUUAAACAGAAAAAGGGAAAAAAACUUACAGUAUGAGAAGAAAGAGAGAGAGCUGAGUGAUUAGUAACAAGAUUCCAACAGAAAGAGCCGGAAAGCAAAAGAAAAAUUAGAAAAAAUCAUUAACAUGUUAUUUAAUCAACCAUAAAUUACAUAAAAUUUCAGUGACUACUAAUGACCAAUAACAACAGCAAAUGAGCUUUACAAGAAUAUGAUUUUUUUUUUUAAAAAAAAAGAGAAAGAAAGAGGAACAUAAAUAAAAGAUGUAAAAGUCUUGAUCAGACUUCAGACCAAAUCGUUAUAAGCGUUAUCUAUUCUUUCAAACAACAGAUUGUCCAUAUACUUUAAAUCAAAUGUAUUAAUUUUACUUCAUAUUCAUUUAUUAUUUACGCUUUCAUGGUUCCGAAACAGGUUUCUGAAUUAAACAAAUUAAAUGGAUAUACAUGAUUUCAUAUAGAAGGCAAAGCUAAGGUUGAUUUAAUUUACCAACUUCAAAAAAGGCUCUAACAUCCUUCUGGAUUAUUUAAUUCUCUCUAUUCAUAGUUCCAUAUUAUACGUUGUGAAAUAAAAAAUUAUUCAAUACUCUUGAAAAUCCCCUCAGUAUAUAUAUAGUUUUGUUAAUAUACACAUCAAAUUCACAUCUAAAAUGACGCUCAGUUGCAACUUUAUUCAAGCUGUUAAGUGACAAACAAAUUAAAUAUUUGACUGCAAACUUAAUAAAUCCGCCACACAUAAUCCAAUAGAUGAAAUCCAAUCAAAUUAAAGUGAGGACUAACCGAACCAAACUGAAGAUAGCCCAGAUGCUCCUUUCCCUGUUCUAAGUUGAAUUAUGAGUAGCAAGAGAAGGGGAAAUUAGUAGGGUAAAAUGGUAAAGCAGCAGAACCGAUCUAGUUGAGGAUAUAUAGCAAUGUCUAUUCUGGAAAUCCCCAUAGACAUAGUGGGAUAUAUAUAUUUGGGGAGAGAGGGGUUAUCGGUGUCGAGCAGAGAGAGGGGGGUUAUUGGUGAGCAGAGAGAGAGAAAAUUAGGGAAAUAGGGUUUGGAUGUGGAAUAUUAGAUUAAUAUUACAAACCACC
rnacentral:lncRNA from 1 species